GGCGUCUCCAUUUUGUGGACCCCAAGGCACGCAGUGAAGUCUGAGACCUGAGCCUCUCAAGAAGCCACUUAGGGCCGGACCGUGUCUCGUUCGAUCCAGUUUUCUGGAGGUCUCCUGGCGAAAACAAGUGACAAAGCCACUGUUGAGUGAGAUGGGCCAGCGACCGCCCGGUGUGAGUAAUCUGAGAACCCUUCCUAUUCUUGCUGUUCCUACAGGGACUUGGGCUGUUGGAGAGCUGACUCCUGAUUAAUGUAGGAAAGUGUUUGUUUCCUAUCUUCCACUUUUGGUUCCUUCUGUGCUUUUUGGGAAUCCACUCUCAGCACCUCCAAACUUGUGGCACAUUUAAAUCCAAGUCUUUCUUGAAGAGAGCCAAAGACUUAUUAAAUUAAACUCGUUUCUGGAAUCAAAUGCCUCCUUGUUAAUUUAGUGAGUGACUCUGGAUGGAGUAAAGUUCUGGACAAGGUACUUGGUUGUCUUUGGUUUGUUUAUUUAUUUCUAUAACCUCAGCAUGGAGGCCGCCGGGACAAAGCUCAAGGACAGCGUGCCCUGGAAAGAAGCCUGCUGACCAAGUGUGGGGCAGUAAAGGUUUGGCCCAGGGCCUUCUGUACUCAAAGCCUUGUUU
rnacentral:lncRNA from 1 species